rnacentral:rRNA from 1 species
UGCCCUUUGAUGAGCCCGCGUCCUAUCAGCUUGUUGGUGAGGUAACGGCUCACCAAGGCGACGACGGGUAGCUGGUCUGAGAGGAUGGUCAGCCACACUGGGACUGAGACACUGCCCAGACUCCUACGGGAGGCUGCAGUCGAGAAUCUUUUGCAAUGUCCGAAAGGAUGACAAUGCGACGCCGCGUGAACGAUGAAGGCCCUCGGGUUGUAAAGUUCUGUCAGCCCGGAUGAAUGCAGGGGUGUUAAUACCAUUCCUGCUUGACGUUACGGGCAGAGGAAGCCACGGCUAACUCCGUGCCAGCAGCCGCGGUAAUACGGAGGUGGCAAGCGUUGUUCGGAUUCACUGGGUGUAAAGGUCAUGUAGGCGUCUUAUUAAGUCGGAUGUGAAAUCCCUCGGCUCAACCGGGGAACUGCAUUCGAAACUGAUAAGAUUGAGUACCUGAGAGGUAAGCGGAAUUCCGGAAGUAAGGGUGAAAUCUGUAGAUAUCCGGAAGAACACCAUUAGCGAAGGCGGCUUACUGGCAGGAUACUGACGCUGAAAUGAGAAAGCUAGGGGAGCGAACAGGAUUAGAUACCCUGGUAGUCCUAGCUGUAAACGAUGGGCACUAGGUGCAGGUCCUUCGGGAUCUGUGUCGGAGGAAACCCGUUAAGUGCCCCACCUGGGGACUACGGUCGCAAGGCUAAAACUCAAAGGAAUUGACGGGGACCCGCACAAGCGGUGGAGCAUGUGGUUU